GGAUCAUUACUGAGUUUACGCUCUACAACCCUUUGUGAACAUACCUAUAACUGUUGCUUCGGCGGGUAGGGUCUCCGUGACCCUCCCGGCCUCCCGCCCCCGGGCGGGUCGGCGCCCGCCGGAGGAUAACCAAACUCUGAUUUAACGACGUUUCUUCUGAGUGGUACAAGCAAAUAAUCAAAACUUUUAACAACGGAUCUCUUGGUUCUGGCAUCGAUGAAGAACGCAGCGAAAUGCGAUAAGUAAUGUGAAUUGCAGAAUUCAGUGAAUCAUCGAAUCUUUGAACGCACAUUGCGCCCGCCAGCAUUCUGGCGGGCAUGCCUGUUCGAGCGUCAUUUCAACCCUCAAGCUCUGCUUGGUGUUGGGGCCCUACAGCUGAUGUAGGCCCUCAAAGGUAGUGGCGGACCCUCCCGGAGCCUCCUUUGCGUAGUAACUUUACGUCUCGCACUGGGAUCCGGAGGGACUCUUGCCGUAAAACCCCCAAUUUUCCAAAGGUUGACCUCGGAUCAGGUAGGAAUACCCGCUGAACUUAAGCA
rnacentral:rRNA from 1 species